rnacentral:rRNA from 1 species
UCACAUUACUAAUCGCAUUGCGGUGCUUUUUUUAUCGGAGCAGACCCAAAAGCUCCCGUUGGUUGAAAAGUUUUGAUUUAAUUGGCUGGUUACUUCCGGAAAAACCUUAAAAGAAAAAAGAGUUGGGUCCUUGGGGGGGCCCUGUUAAGGGCGUCUGUUCCCGCCGAGGCAACGUUAGGUAUGUUCACAGGGUUGUGAGUUGUAUAACUCGGUAAUUUUCCGUUGGGUGAACCAGCGGAGGGAUCAUUA